rnacentral:rRNA from 1 species
CCUACGGGUGGCAGCAGUGGGGGAUAUUGCACAAUGGGGGGAACCCUGAUGCAGCGACGCCGCGUGGGUGAAGGAGUGCUUCGGCAUGUAAAGCCCUAUCGGCAGGGAAGAAGCAAGACGGUACCUGACUAAGAAGCCCCGGCUAACUACGUGCCAGCAGCCGCGGUAAUAGGAAGGGGGGGAGCGUUAUCCGGAUUCACUGGGUGGAAAGGGAGCGUAGACGGCCAAGCAAGCCAGGGGUGAAAGCCCGGGGCCCAACCCCGGGACUGCCCUUGGAACUGCAUGGUUGGAGUGCGGGAGGGGCAGGCGGAAUUCCUGGGGUAGCGGUGAAAUGCGUAGAUAUCAGGAGGAACACCGGCGGCGAAGGCGACCUGCUGGACCGCGACUGACGUUGAGGCUCGAAAGCGUGGGGAGCGAACAGGAUUAGAUACCCUGGUAGUC